rnacentral:rRNA from 1 species
AACGAACGCUGGCGGCAGGCUUAACACAUGCAAGUCGAACGCCCCGCAAGGGGAGUGGCAGACGGGUGAGUAACGCGUGGGAAUCUACCCAGAUCUACGGAACAGCAGUUGGAAACGACUGCUAAUACCGUAUACGCCCUACGGGGGAAAGAUUUAUCGGAUUUGGAUGAGCCCGCGUUGGAUUAGCUAGUUGGUGGGGUAAUGGCCUACCAAGGCGACGAUCCAUAGCUGGUCUGAGAGGAUGAUCAGCCACACUGGGACUGAGACACGGCCCAGACUCCUACGGGAGGCAGCAGUGGGGAAUAUUGGACAAUGGGCGCAAGCCUGAUCCAGCCAUGCCGCGUGAGUGAUGAAGGCCUUAGUGUUGUAAAGCUCUUUCACCGAUGAAGAUAAUGACGGUAGUCGGAGAAGAAGCCCCGGCUAACUUCGUGCCAGCAGCCGCAGUAAGAC